rnacentral:rRNA from 1 species
UACGGAGGGGGCUAGCGUUGUUCGGAAUUACUGGGCGUAAAGCGCACGUAGGCGGCUUUGUAAGUUAGAGGUGAAAGCCCGGGGCUCAACUCCGGAAUUGCCUUUUAAGACUGCAUCGCUAGAAUUGUGGAGAGGUAAGUGGAAUUCCGAGUGUAGAGGUGAAAUUCGUAGAUAUUCGGAAGAACACCAGUGGCGAAGGCGACUUUACUG